rnacentral:rRNA from 1 species
GUUUAUGUUCCAAAUGAUUAUCGCCGUAGGAUGGGACUGCGUCCUAUCAGUUUGUCGGUGAGGUAAUGGCCCACCAAGACUAUUACAGGUACGGGCUCUGAGAGGAGUGGCCCGGAGAUGGGUACUGAGACACGGACCCAGGCCCUAUGGGGCGCAGCAGGCGAGAAAACUUUGCAAUGUGCGAAAGCACGACAAGGUUAAUCCGAGUGGUUUGUGCUAAACGAACCUUUUGACAGUCCUAGAAACACUGUUGAAUAAGGGGUGGGCAAGUUCUGGUGUCAGCCGCCGCGGUAAAACCAGCACCUCAAGUGGUCAGGAUGAUUAUUGGGCCUAAAGCAUCCGUAGCCGGCUCUGUAAGUUUUCGGUUAAAUCUGUACGCUCAACGUACAGGCUGCCGGGAAUACUGCAGAGCUAGGGAGUGGGAGAGGUAGACGGUACUCGGUAGGAAGGGGUAAAAUCCUUUGAUCUAUUGAUGACCACCUGUGGCGAAGGCGGUCUACCAGAACACGUCCGACGGUGAGGGAUGAAAGCUGGGGGAGCAAACCGGAUUAGAUACCCGGGUAGUCCCAGCUGUAAACUAUGCAAACUCAGUGAUGCAUUGGCUUGUGGCCAAUGCAGUGCUGCAGGGAAGCCGUUAAGUUUGCCGCCUGGGAAGUACGUACGCAAGUAUGAAACUUAAAGGAAUUGGCGGGGGAGCACCACAAAGGGGGAAGCCUGCGGUUC